CCUACGGGGGGCAGCAGUCGAGAAUCAUUCACAAUGGGGGAAACCCUGAUGGUGCGACGCCGCGUGGGGGAAUGAAGGUCUUCGGAUUGUAAACCCCUGUCAUGUGGGAGCAAAUUAAAAAGAUAGUACCACAAGAGGAAGAGACGGCUAACUCUGUGCCAGCAGCCGCGGUAAUACAGAGGUCUCAAGCGUUGUUCGGAAUCACUGGGCGUAAAGCGUGCGUAGGCUGUUUCGUAAGUCGUGUGUGAAAGGCGGGGGCUCAACCCGCGGACGGCACAUGAUACUGCGAGACUAGAGUAAUGGAGGGGGAACCGGAAUUCUCGGUGUAGCAGUGAAAUGCGUAGAUAUCGAGAGGAACACUCGUGGCGAAGGCGGGUUCCUGGACAUUAACUGACGCUGAGGCACGAAGGCCAGGGGAGCGAAAGGGAUUAGAUACCCCAGUAGUC
rnacentral:rRNA from 1 species